rnacentral:tRNA from 1 species
GGAAGCGUGCCUGAGCUACAAGGAUUACUUUGAUAGAGUAAACCACAGAGGUCUAAACCCUCUCACUUCCU